rnacentral:lncRNA from 1 species
GUGAUAGUUGUGGAAAAAUCUCUAAAAUUAAAGGGAAUGAAAAUUUGGGUAACUAAUGAAAUGAUAUAGAGUAGAUAUCACUCAAUUUGACUUUUGCUCAAUAUGAUUUUAACUAAUCCAAACAAUGAAGUUUUAUUUUAUUUCAUCUCAUACCACUGUAUUCCAUCAAUCUAAACAAAAUUUAUGUCCUAAUAUGUGCUACUUCAGUAUUCUCAACAACAUCAAACCGAAAGAAAACCUUUUCAUACACCAAAACAAAGAAAAACGUCAUAGACAUAGAUAU